UUGAUACAAUGAUGACUGCAUAGUUCAGCAGAUUGAACAGUGAAGAAUUUGUUGUGUCUUUCGCUCCUAGCUGAUGUAUCAA